rnacentral:rRNA from 1 species
UACGUAGGGAGCAAGCGUUGUCCGGAAUCAUUGGGCGUAAAGCGCGCGUAGGUGGCCUCGUAAGUCCGCUGUGAAAGUCAAAGGCUCAACCUUUGAAAGCCGGUGGAUACUGUGAGGCUAGAGUACGGAAGAGGCGAGUGGAAUUCCGGGUGUAGUGGUGGAAUGCGUAGAGCUCCGGAGGAACACCAGUGGCGAAGGCGGCCGCCUGGGCCAGUCCUGACGCUGAGCCGCGAAAGCGUGGGGAGCGAUCCGG